AUUGAACGCUGGCGGAAUGCUUUACACAUGCAAGUCGAACGGCAGCACGGGGCAACCUGGUGGCGAGUGGCGAACGGGUGAGUAAUACAUCGGAACGUGCCCAAUCGUGGGGGAUAACGUAGCGAAAGUUACGCUAAUACCGCAUACGAUCUACGGAUGGAAGCGGGGGAUCGCAAGACCUCGCGCGAAUGGAGCGGCCGAUGUCAAGUUAGGUAGUUGGUGGGGUAAAGGCUCACCAAGCCAACGAUCUGUAGCUGGUCUGAGAGGACGACCAGCCACACUGGGGCUGAGACACGGCACAGACUCCUACGGGAGGCAGCAGUGGGGAAUUUUGGACAAUGGGCGCAAGCCUGAUCCAGCCAUUCCGCGUGCAGGAUGAAGGCCUUCGGGUUGUAAACUGCUUUUGUACGGAACGAAACGGUUCUCUCUAAUACAGGGGGCUAAUGACGGUACCGUAAGAAUAAGCACCGGCUAACUACGUGCCAGCCGCCGCCGUAAGAC
rnacentral:rRNA from 1 species